CAAGUCGCACGGGGUAGCAAUACCCAGUGGCGCACGGGUGCGUAACACGUAGACAACCUGCCCUUAAGAGGGGGAUAACGUUCCGAAAGGAGCGCUAAUACCGCAUAAUGCCAGUGAUGGAGAAAGGCUGGGACCAGCAAUGGCCAGUCGCUUUUGGAGGGGUCUGCGGCCCAUCAGCUAGUUGGUAAGGUAAUGGCUUACCAAGGCAAAGACGGGUAGCUGGUCUGAGAGGAUGAUCAGCCACACUGGUACUGGAACACGGACCAGACUCCUACGGGAGGCAGCAGUGGGGAAUCUUGGUCAAUGGGCGCAAGCCUGAACCAGCGACGCCGCGUGAGUGAUGAAGGCCUUCGGGUUGUAAAGCUCUGUGGGGAGGGACGAAAGACUGAGGUCUAAUAGGCUUCAGGUUGACGGUACCUCCUUAGCAAGCACCGGCUAACUCUGUGCCAGCAGCCGCGGUAAGACAGAGGGUGCAAACGUUGCUCGGAAUCACUGGGCGUAAAGGGCGUGUAGGCGGGAAGGAAAGUCAGAUGUGAAAUCCCCAGGCUCAACCUGGGAACUGCAUUUGAAACUCCCUUUCUUGAGUACCGGAGAGGAAAGUGGAAUUCCUGGUGUAGAGGUGAAAUUCGUAGAUAUCAGGAGGAACACCAGUGGCGAAGGCGGCUUUCUGGACGGUAACUGACGCUGAGACGCGAAAGCGUGGGGAGCAAACAGGAUUAGAUACCCCGGUAGUCCACGCUGUAAACGAUGAGUGCUAGGUGUCGUGGGUAUUGACCCCCGCGGUGCCGUAGCUAACGCAUUAAGCACUCCGCCUGGGAAGUACGGUCGCAAGACUAAAACUCAAAGGAAUUGACGGGGGCCC
rnacentral:rRNA from 1 species